rnacentral:SRP_RNA from 1 species
AACUUCGUUUCUUGGAUGGCAAAGUUAUCUUGCUUGUUUAGAUGGCAGGGUUUGGGUGGCUAAUUUCUGGCCUGCCCUAUCCAAGAUCAGAGUCGGGUCAUGUGGCUCAAACGAAUAGCCAUUUGGCUCCUAAAGUGGGGUGGACUGCGUAAGGCUGGUUUCACUGAGCAACGAAUAGCUCUCACUCUGUGCAGUGGAAGGAUAACAAGCCGAUGUCAUCCAAGCCCAAUAAAUGCCUGAUGGGCUGCUCUAAUUAAACCACCACUUUA